rnacentral:rRNA from 1 species
GAUGAACGCUAGCGGCAGGCUUAACACAUGCAAGUCGAGGGGUAUAGUUCUUCGGAAUUAGAGACCGGCGCACGGGUGCGUAACGCGUAUGCAAUCUACCUUUCACAAAGGGAUAGCCCAGAGAAAUUUGGAUUAAUACCUUAUAGUAAUACGACUUGGCAUCAAGAUGUAUUUAAAGAUUUAUCGGUGAAAGAUGAGCAUGCGUCCCAUUAGCUUGUUGGUAAGGUAACGGCUUACCAAGGCAACGAUGGGUAGGGGUCCUGAGAGGGAGAUCCCCCACACUGGUACUGAGACACGGACCAGACUCCUACGGGAGGCAGCAGUGAGGAAUAUUGGACAAUGGGCGCAAGCCUGAUCCAGCCAUGCCGCGUGCAGGAUGACGGUCCUAUGGAUUGUAAACUGCUUUUUGUACAGGAAGAAACCCUUUCACGUGUGGAAGAUUGACGGUACUGUAGGAAUAAGGAUCGG